GGUUGCUGCAGAGAGCGCUCCAGCUCCGGAGAAUGAACACUCUCAAGAGACCCCGGAAUCGAACAGUAGUGUGUACACCACCUUCAUGAAGUCUCAUCGCUGCUAUGACCUGAUCCCCACAAGCUCCAAGCUGGUGGUAUUUGAUACUUCGCUGCAGGUGGGUAGAGCCCUUCCUUUCUACGUUCCUCAAACGCGCUAGUCCAAAGCCCGUCAUCAUCCGCCAUACUCCCCCACACACCAACCCAUUCUUCUUGCAGCUGUGCCUUGUGAGGAUUUUCCUUAGGAUGUUGCUCUCUUGGCCAUAGGUAAAGAAAGCCUUCUUUGCCCUGGUGACUAACGGUGUUCGUGCUGCCCCUUUGUGGGAUAGUAAGAAGCAGAGCUUUGUGG
rnacentral:lncRNA from 1 species